rnacentral:rRNA from 1 species
UACGAAGGGGGCUAGCGUUGCUCGGAAUCACUGGGCGUAAAGGGUGCGUAGGCGGGGCUUUAAGUCAGGGGUGAAAUCCUGGAGCUCAACUCCAGAACUGCCUUUGAUACUGAAGAUCUUGAGUCCGGGAGAGGUGAGUGCAACUGCGAGUGUAGAGGUGAAAUUCGUAGAUAUUCGCAAGAACACCAGUGGCGAAGGCGGCUCACUGGCCCGGUACUGACGCUGAGGCACAAAAGCGUGGGGAGCAAACAGG